rnacentral:rRNA from 1 species
GAUGAACGCUGGCGGCGUGCCUAAUACAUGCAAGUCGAGCGAACAGACGAGGAGCUUGCUCCUCUGACGUUAGCAGCGGACGGGUGAGUAACACGUGGAUAACCUACCUAUAAGACUGGGAUAACUUCGGGAAACCGGAGCUAAUACCGGAUAAUAUAUUGAACCGCAUGGUUCACUAGUUAAAGACGGUUUUGCUGUCACUUAUAGCUGGAUCCGCGCCGAAUUAGCUAGUUGGUAAGGUAACGGCUUACCAAGGCAACGAUGCUUAGCCGACCUGAGAGGGUGAUCGGACACACUGUAACUGAGACACGGCCCCGACUCCUACGGGAGGCAGCAGUAGGGAAUCUUCCGCAAUGGGCGAAAGCCUGACGGAGCAACGCGGCGUGAGGGAUGAAGGUCUUCUGCUCGGAAAACGAUGUUAUUCGGGAAGUACAAAUGUUUAAGUAACUAUGCUCAUAUUGACGGUACCUAAUCAGAAAGCCACGGCUAACUACGUG